UUCGGUCGGGAACUCAAAGGAGACUGCCGGUGAUAAACCGGAGGAAGGUGGGGAUGACGUCAAGUCAUCAUGGCCCUUACGAGUAGGGCUACACACGUGCUACAAUGGCGUAUACAAAGAGAAGCGACCUCGCGAGAGCAAGCGGAACUCAUAAAGUACGUCGUAGUCCGGAUUGGAGUCUGCAACUCGACUCCAUGAAGUCGGAAUCGCUAGUAAUCGUAGAUCAGAAUGCUACGGUGAAUACGUUCCCGGGCCUUGUACACACCGCCCGUCACACCAUGGGAGUGGGUUGCAAAAGAAGUAGGUAGCUUAACCUUCGGGAGGGCGCUUACCACUUUGUGAUUCAUGACUGGGGUGAAGUCGUAACAAGGUAACCGUAGGGGAACCUGCGGUUGGAUCACCUCCUUA
rnacentral:rRNA from 1 species